GGGGGUGACCGGUUUUGACAGCAGGCAGAGUUUGUUGGUAAGCACGCCGAGCAUUGUGUGGGCGCUCGUAAAUCUGCAACACUCAAACUACAAAUGGCAAUAAUAGCUAUGCACUCGCUGCCUAAUUUUCAAGGAAAAUUGGCUUAAUUGAAGGACACAAGGCUUGUCCAUCAACGAGUAUCCCGAAGGGGCGUUCCGCUUCUUAACGACUCUUCAUACGGGGUAUCAAUCAUUAGAAGAUAGUGCGAUAUGCGCCUCGGUUAUCGUGCGAAAUUUAGAGGCUGGGCCUAUAGUUUGGCGGUCGUCUGCCGGGCUACAGGAGAAGGAUUAAGUGACGACUAAGCGUGUAGAAAGCCUUCGGGCUCCUUGUUUGGACGCGAGUUCGACUCUCGCCACCUCCACAA
rnacentral:tmRNA from 1 species